rnacentral:rRNA from 1 species
UGGCGGACGGGUGAGUAACGCGUGGAAAACCUGCCGUAUACUGGGGGAUAACACUUAGAAAUAGGUGCUAAUACCGCAUAAGCGCACAGCUUCGCAUGAAGCGGUGUGAAAAACUCUGGUGGUAUACGAUGGUUCCGCGUCUGAUUAGCUAGUUGGUGGGGUAAUGGCCUACCAAGGCAACGAUCAGUAGCCGGCCUGAGAGGGUGAACGGCCACAUUGGGACUGAGACACGACCCAAACUCCUACGGGAGGCAGCAG